rnacentral:miRNA from 1 species
UGUGAUAUCGUGCUUCCUGGGA